GAUGAACGCUGGCGGCGUGCCUAACACAUGCAAGUCGAGCGGAGAUUUCCGGAGUACUUGUACGAAGGGGAUCUUAGCGGCGGACGGGUGAGUAACACGUGAGCAAUCUGCCUUUUACUGGGGAAUAACACUGGGAAACCAUUGCUAAUACCGCAUAAUGUCUUUUUCCGGCAUCGGGAGAAGACCAAAGGAGAAAUCCGGUAAAAGAUGAGCUCGCGUCCGAUGAGGUAGUUGGUGAGGUAGCGGCCCACCAAGCCUACGAUCGGUAGCCGGACUGAGAGGUUGAACGGCCACAUUGGGACUGAGUCACGGCCCAGACUCCUACGGAAAGCAGCAGUGAGGAAUAUUGGGCAAUGGGGGAAACUCUGACCCAGCAACGCCGCGUGAAGGAUGAAGGCUUUCUGGUUGUAAACUUCUUUGAUCAGGGACGAAACAAAUGACGGUACCUGAAGAACAAGCCACGGCUAACUACGUGCCAGCAGCCGCCGCCGUAA
rnacentral:rRNA from 1 species